rnacentral:rRNA from 1 species
UGGGGAAUCUUGGACAAUGGGGGCAACCCUGAUCCAGCGACGCCGCGUGGGUGAUGAAGGCCUUAGGGUUGUAAACCCCUUUCACCGGGGAGGAUGAUGACGUUACCCGGAGAAGAAGCACCGGCUAACUCCGUGCCAGCAGCCGCGGUAAGACGGAGGGUGCUAGCGUUGUUCGGAAUCACUGGGCGUAAAGGGCGCGUAGGCGGCGAAGGCAGUCAGAUGUGAAAGCCCGGGGCUCAACUCCGGAACUGCAUUUGAUACUCCUUUGCUAGAGGACGAGAGAGGAGAGUGGAAUACCCAGUGUAGAGGUGAAAUUCGUAGAUAUUGGGUGGAACACCAGUGGCGAAAGCGGCUCUCUGGCUCGAACCUGACGCUGAGGCGCGAAAGCGUGGGGAGCAAACAGGAUUAGAUACCCGUGUAGUCC